rnacentral:misc_RNA from 1 species
GAUGAAGAACGUAGCGAAAUGCGAUAAGUAGUGUGAAUUGCAGAAUUCAGUGAAUCAUCGAAUCUUUGAACGCACAUUGCGCCCCUUGGUAUCCCGAGGGGCAUGCCUGUUCGAGCGUCAUUUCACCACUCAAGCCUGGCUUGGUGUUGGGCGACGUCCCCUUUAGGGACGCGCCUCGAAACGCUCGGCGGCGUGGCACCGGCUUUAAGCGUAGCAGAAUCUUUCGCUUUGGAAGUCGGGGCCCCGCCUGCCGGAAUACCUACUCGUAAGGUUGACCUCGGAUCAGGCGGGGCUACCCGCUGAGUUUAAGCAUAUCAAUAAGCGGAGGA